rnacentral:tRNA from 1 species
GGUCCUAUAGCUCAGCUGGUAGAGCGCCGCCCUUACAAGGCGGAUGUCGCAGGUUCGAGUCCUGCUGGGACCA